CAGGAGCAGACAUGACACUUGCUAGACUUUUCAGAGUCACCACGUGAAAACCGAAGCACCCAAGGAACUGGCAGGGGAAGUGGGUGAGGGAGACACUCCAAGAGGCCCCCCAGCGGGGCAGGCGGGGUCCAGGGCGCAUGACGCAUGCGCAAAACGCUUCCCAGCUCGCUACCACGGGCCACACUGAAAACAAAAGUACAACCUCUGGCUCAUCUGUCACUUCUGCUCCUGACACUGCACCAAUCUCCUUAUGGACUGCUAAGGAUCAGGCUGAUUUUUCAUGAAAGCUAAAACGGGAUAUGAAGUAAGUAGAAGUACAGCUCUUUAAGCCAGUCUUCAGAGAUGUCACUGAAGCUGGUUUCUUCAUGCAAAAGUCACCUCAGAAGACAGGAAGAUCUUUGGAGAAGCUCAUGAAAUUUGUUUUCCAGCACAUGGCCAUUUACCGAGUUACGAACGCCCCAUCUGGAAAUGCUGAGUCCCGACGCCAAGGCUGCUGUUCAGCAGAUCAAGACCUAAGCAAAACAUCUCCAUCUGAAGGAAAAAAAAUACAGUUACCAAGAUCUUCAAUCAAUAGUGCACCAUUGCUAACCUAGCACAUACUCUCACGGACAAAGAAUGUUAAAGGAAAAUUCCAAAGAGCUGCCCUUGGCUGUUGACUGACUUACCCAUUGUCAGACUCUCACAAUGUGAAGACCUUCUUACGUGAUUUGGAGGAGAGGAGGUAUUUUAAACAUCAACUGGAAGUUCAGACAGUUUGCCCAAUCGAUUCUGUCCCUGGGGAAGAAAAAUCAUGUCAUCAAAUUGGAAUCAGAGUUCGAAUCCUGUGAUGGCUCUUUGCUCUUGGUUGGUUUUGACUUCCUGUGCAUGGGGCAUGAGCCCUGGGAGAGUCACAUGGUAGGGUACCGUUACCUACGCCCCAAUAAAUCCAAUGAUUUUGUCUCCUCCAUUUUAAAAGGCUCUGUUACCAAAUACAAUCCCUUCCCUCUUGCCAUUGUCUUUUACUGGGCAGAGUACGUGUUGUUUGAAGAUGAUGAUGCAGCAGUGAGUUCUGCUAGAGAAAUGGAAUUUAUAUCCUGUUCUGCUCCAAAAGUCACAUCCCACUCCAGCAUUGAAAACAACAGGUUUAUUAAAGUCAUUUAA